AGAAUAUGACGUUCUGUCUCUACGAACGGUAGCAGCGUUCCUCCCUUUUGUUUUAUUUUCUAACAGAAUGUCGACGUUAACGUCAGCGUGGCGCGCGCGCGCCUUCGAUUUUACCGACCUUACCGACCGGCCGAUAAAAAUAGAUUUAACGAGGUUAUCAACGAGGUCAUCAACUUCGUCCACACGUCAAUACUUCAAUUGGACUUUCCUCGAAGGAAAAGGAACGAUAAUUUAUCCUGCUGUAUCGAAUUGGAUUAAUGCCGAGCGAAUGAAGAAAUUGAAUUUAAUUGAAUAUCCCUAUCUCGAGUGAUAUCACCCUUGGGUGGGAUUAUAUACGAAAGAAAAGGAAAAAGACGAAAGAAUGUCAAGUGAUGUUUUCUUACCGCACCGAUGUGUCAACUGAUGUUUGCUAUUAUUGUCGUGUAAAGCCAAACGCUUUACUUGUCUACGGUAAGCCGCCAUAUGGC